UGUAGAAAUCUGGGGUCAGAGAAGUAAUCUUGUCUUGGUUUGUCCUCUGUUCUUUAGACCACAUCAGACUCCUUUUAUUUGUUUUUGUAUGAUCUAUAAAAAUCUGUGUUUUUUAAUUGAUCAAGAGGGGGGACUGUAGAAAUCUGGGGUAUUUCUGUAUGUAUUCUGAUGUGUUCAUCUGUGUUCAUCUGUGU